rnacentral:rRNA from 1 species
GAAUUUUCCGCAAUGGGCGAAAGCCUGACGGAGCAAGACCGCGUGGGGGAAGAAGGCUCUUGGGUUGUAAACCCCUUUUCUCAGGGAAGAAGUUCUGACGGUACCUGAGGAAUAAGCAUCGGCUCACUCCGCGCCAGCCGCCGCGGUAAGACGGAGGAUGCAAGCGUUAUCCGGAAUUAUUGGGCGUAAAGCGUUCGUAGGUGGCUGUUCAAGUCUGCCGUUAAAGACCGGGGCUUAACUCCGGAAAAACUGUGGAAACUGAACAGCUAGAGUAUGGUAGGGGUAAGGGGAAUUCCCGGUGUAGCGGUGAAAUGCGUAGAUAUCGGGAAGAACACCGGUGGCGAAGGCGCCUUACUGGGCCAUAACUGACACUGAGGGACGAAAGCUAGGGGAGCGAAAGGG